rnacentral:rRNA from 1 species
GAGGAGCUUGCUCCUCUGACGUUAGCGGCGGACGGGUGAGUAACACGUGGAUAACCUACCUAUAAGACUGGGAUAACUUCGGGAAACCGGAGCUAAUACCGGAUAAUAUAUUGAACCGCAUGGUUCAAUAGUGAAAGACGGUUUUGCUGUCACUUAUAGAUGGAUCCGCGCCGCAUUAGCUAGUUGGUAAGGUAACGGCUUACCAAGGCAACGAUGCGUAGCCGACCUGAGAGGGUGAUCGGCCACACUGGAACUGAGACACGGUCCAGACUCCUACGGGAGGCAGCAGUAGGGAAUCUUCCGCAAUGGGCGAAAGCCUGACGGAGCAACGCCGCGUGAGUGAUGAAGGUCUUCGGAUCGUAAAACUCUGUUAUUAGGGAAGAACAAAUGUGUAAGUAACUAUGCACGUCUUGACGGUACCUAAUCAGAAAGCCACGGCUAACUACGUGCCAGCAGCCGCGGUAAUACGUAGGCGGCAAGCGUUAUCCGGAAUUAUUGGGCGUAAAGCGCGCGUAGGCGGUUUUUUAAGUCUGAUGUGAAAGCCCACGGCUCAACCGUGGAGGGUCAUUGGAAACUGGAAAACUUGAGUGCAGAAGAGGAAAGUGGAAUUCCAUGUGUAGCGGUGAAAUGCGCAGAGAUAUGGAGGAACACCAGUGGCGAAGGCGACUUUCUGGUCUGUAA